CAGUCGCCGCGGUAAUACAGAGGGUGCGAGCGUUAAUCGGAUUUACAGGGCGUAAAGCGUGCGUAGGCGGCUUUUUAAGUCGGAUGUGAAAUCCCUGAGCUUAACUUAGGAAUUGCAUUCGAUACUGGGAAGCUAGAGUAUGGGAGAGGAUGGUAGAAUUCCAGGUGUAGCGGUGAAAUGCGUAGAGAUCUGGAGGAAUACCGAUGGCGAAGGCAGCCAUCUGGCCUAAUACUGACGCUGAGGUACGAAAGCAUGGGGAGCAAACAGGAUUAGAUACCCCCGUAGUCCCUGUCUCUUAUAC
rnacentral:rRNA from 1 species